UACAGAGGUCUCGAGCGUUAGGCGGAAUCACUGGGCUUAAAGCGUGUGUAGGUGGAUCGUUAAGUACCUUGUGAAAUCCCACGGCUUAACCGUGGAACUGCUUGGUAUACUGGCGGUCUUGAGCCAGCUAGGGGCUACCGGAACAAAUGGUGGAGCGGUGAAAUGCGUAGAUAUCAGGAAGAACACCCGUGGCGAAGGCGGUUCUCUGGGACGGUACUGACGCUGAGACGCGAAAGCGUGGGGAGCGAACAGG
rnacentral:rRNA from 1 species